rnacentral:rRNA from 1 species
AGUGAACGCUGGCGGUAGGCCUAACACAUGCAAGUCGAACGGCAGCACAGUAAGAGCUUGCUCUUACGGGUGGCGAGUGGCGGACGGGUGAGGAAUACAUCGGAAUCUACUUUUCGUGGGGGAUAACGUAGGGAAACUUACGCUAAUACCGCAUACGAUCUACGGGUGAAAGCAGGGGAUCUUCGGACCUUGCGCGAUUGAAUGAGCCGAUGUCGGAUUAGCUAGUUGGCGGGGUAAAGGCCCACCAAGGCGACGAUCCGUAGCUGGUCUGAGAGGAUGAUCAGCCACACUGGAACUGAGACACGGUCCAGACUCCUACGGGAGGCAGCAGUGGGGAAUAUUGGACAAUGGGCGCAAGCCUGAUCCAGCCAUACCGCGUGGGUGAAGAAGGCCUUCGGGUCGUAAAGCCCUUUUGUUGGGAAAGAAAAGCAGCAGGUUAAUACCCCGCUGUUCUGACGGUACCCAAAGAAUAAGCACCGGCUAACUUCGUG